rnacentral:rRNA from 1 species
CCUGCCGGCGACCGGCGCACGGGUGAGUAACACGUAUGCGACCUGCCCCCCGCAGGGGGAUAACCGGGAGAAAUCCCGACUAAUACCGCGUAACGCCGCGGACCUGCAUGGGUCUGCGGCCAAAGGAAGCGAUUCCGGCGGGGAUGGGCAUGCGGCGCAUUAGCUAGUCGGCGGGGUAACGGCCCACCGAGGCGACGAUGCGUAGGGGUUCUGAGAGGAAGGUCCCCCACACUGGUACUGAGACACGGACCAGACUCCUACGGAAGGCAGCAG